GUCGACCGCUUCGCUGAGGACGACGUCGUUCGGGGACGGGUCAAUGGACCCGGACGCGGUGGCUCAAACCUACUGGCAGUUGCACGUCCAAGACCGGAGUGCUUGGACCCAAGAGAUCGACCUCCGUCCCUCUCACCCACCCAGAUUCUGUUAGAAGCCAAUUAAUAAUAUCAAUAAUAUGCAAUUGGCUCCACAUAAUCAUGGUGAUCAUUAUUUAUAUAUAUAUGCUUAAAAUUCUUUAUAUUUCCUCUUUGCUUUACUUACUUUAGAAAGAGUUGAAGACACCAUGAUUCCAUGAAGCCAGUUUGCGAGAGCCACUUGCCCUUGCGCUAGGGACAACUCGGGGAGGAGCCACCUCUUGCUGGCAGAGGUUCCAAUCUAUCUCCCCAAGUGGUGUGGAACUGAGGGCCC
rnacentral:lncRNA from 1 species